rfam:Oenococcus oeni PST-1, complete genome.
GGGCGUUUAGCUCAGUUGGGAGAGCGCUGCCUUCGCAUGGCAGAGGUCACGGGUUCGAAUCCCGUAAUGUCCA